rnacentral:rRNA from 1 species
CUCGUAGGCGGUUCGUCGCGUCCGGUGUGAAAGUCCAUCGCUUAACGGUGGAUCCGCGCCGGGUACGGGCGGGCUUGAGUGCGGUAGGGGAGACUGGAAUUCCCGGUGUAACGGUGGAAUGUGUAGAUAUCGGGAAGGACACCAAUGGCGAAGGCAGGUCUCUGGGCCGUCACUGACGCUGAGGAGCGAAAGCGUGGGGAGCGAACA